CUGGGAUGAGCCAGAGUGGCAGCCAGGAGGAAACAGAGCGACUCUUUCACAGCCAGCGUUCUGUGACCAGGACGAAGCACGAGGACAUGGCCAGCGCUCACGGAGUCCCUCACACCUGGAAACACUGAGUCCUAUACAAAGCUGAUUCUGGACCUGCUACAAGC
rnacentral:lncRNA from 1 species